UACGUAGGGUGCGAGCGUUAAUCGGAAUUACUGGGCGUAAAGCGUGCGCAGGCGGUUUUGUAAGCCAGAUGUGAAAGCCCCGGGCUUAACCUGGGAAUGGCAUUUGGGACUGCAAGGCUUGAGUGCGGCAGAGGAGACUGGAAUUCCUGGUGUAGCAGUGAAAUGCGUAGAUAUCGGCAGGAACACCCAGGGGGAAACCAGCCGACUGGGCAUCUGCUGACGCUGAGGUGCGAGAGCGUGGGGAGCGAACCGG
rnacentral:rRNA from 1 species